UGCAGUCGAGCGGUAGCACAGAGGAGCUUGCUCCUUGGGUGACGAGCGGCGGACGGGUGAGUAAUGUCUGGGAAACUGCCUGAUGGAGGGGGAUAACUACUGGAAACGGUAGCUAAUACCGCAUAACCUCGCAAGAGCAAAGAGGGGGACCUUAGGGCCUCUCGCCAUCAGAUGUGCCCAGAUGGGAUUAGCUAGUAGGUGAGGUAAUGGCUCACCUAGGCGACGAUCCCUAGCUGGUCUGAGAGGAUGACCAGCCACACUGGAACUGAGACACGGUCCAGACUCCUACGGGAGGCAGCAGUGGGGAAUAUUGCACAAUGGGCGCAAGCCUGAUGCAGCCAUGCCGCGUGUGUGAAGAAGGCCUUCGGGUUGUAAAGCACUUUCAGCGAGGAGGAAGGCGGUAAGGUUAAUAACCUUAUCGAUUGACGUUACUCGCAGAAGAAGCACCGGCUAACUCCGUGCCAGCAGCCGCGGUAAUACGGAGGGUGCAAGCGUUAAUCGGAAUGACUGGGCGUAAAGCGCACGCAGGCGGUCUGUUAAGUUGGAUGUGAAAUCCCCGGGCUUAACCUGGGAACUGCAUUCAAAACUGACAGGCUAGAGUCUUGUAGAGGGGGGUAGAAUUCCAGGUGUAGCGGUGAAAUGCGUA
rnacentral:rRNA from 1 species